AGCACUAUUUUUAAACCUGUUGGUGGAACUUGCUGACCACCAGUGGGUUACGCUGUAGUGCAAAAGCAUCUCCUGGCUCUUGAGAGCUCAGCUGACCUUGCUCUGUUCAGCUGAUGCUCCUCUGAAGCUGAGGAACAGAA